CUAUACUAUGAGCCUUAGGCUUUAUUUUCCUAUUUACCAUAGGAGGCUUACCAGGCACUGUAUUAGCAAACUCUUCACUAGACAUUGCUCUUCAUGACACAUACUACAUAGGGCCCACUUUUAUAUCUCUUGG